rnacentral:rRNA from 1 species
AACGUAGGAGACAAACGUUAUCCGGAGUUACUGGGCGUAAAGGGCGUGCAGGCGGUCUGUUAAGUCUGGCGUGAAAGCUCUCGGCUAAACCGGGAGAGGUCGUUGGAUACUGACGGACUAGAGGACGGUAGAGGCGUGUGGAAUUCCGGGUGUAGUGGUGAAAUGCGUAGAUAUCUGGAGGAAUACCGGUGGCGAAGGCGGCAUCCUGGACCGAUAUUGACACUGAGGAGCGAAAGCCAGGGGAGCAAACGGG